CAUGUCCAAUGCGGGUGUAAUCGACCUGCAGACGGUCUAGUAUACUGUCAGGUUUGAUGGUGAGCAGACGUGCCAGCCCCUCUCUUCAGUGCAUCCCUAUUUUCUGAGGAACCACUAGGGUCAAGGACGACCCACAUCUUAGUAGAAAGUCAUGGCUUCUAGGGCACGCAGAGGUCUGAGUACGGCCGAAAUCAAUGAAGUCAUUGCUCAAUAUGAAAGCGAUGAUUUUGAUGGCAGUUACGUUUCAUUUGGCUGACACGUAGCAGGGACAUCUUCCUGCCAUUGGCCACAUCAAGCUGCGCAAGCGUGUUCGCUGCCGAAGUUGCCCAUCUAGAGACGACCACAAGACGAACACAGCAUGUUUGCGAUGCAAACGGGCCUGUGUUCCUACAGCAUCAAACUGUCUUGUGUCCGAAGUGUGUGCCUCGUACGUAGGUAGCAAAUUUGGCCGUCGCACUUGUCUUGGGUGGGGGCCCAUUUACUGUAUAUAUCAAUUAGAUUUUGACCUCUAUGGGUCCGACACCUUUUCUGGCUGUGGAGACUUGUAAAUUGUAGUUUUAGGAAGGAUUCCCUCAAUUUAUUUUCUUAUAUAGGUU